ACGCGAUGGUGAGAGGAGAGAAAAGGUUGAGCGGUAUCGAUGACCGAGAGAGAGGGGUUGCACGGUGUUGCGCAACACCACAACCAAAAGAGAAAGAAAGACGAGAGCAAUCAUCGUUAGUUAGAGACAGAAAAGAGGAGAGAGAGAGAGAAGAGACGUGGUUAGGUAGAGAGAGAAGAAAAAGAAAAAAAGAAGAAAAAGAAGAAAGGAAAAAGAAGAAGAAAGAAAAAAAAAAGUAAAAAAAAG
rnacentral:lncRNA from 1 species